rnacentral:rRNA from 1 species
CACGUAGGGUGCGAGCGUUGUCCGGAAUUAUUGGGCGUAAAGAGCUCGUAGGCGGUGUGUCGCGUCGGCCGUGAAAACCUGCAGCUUAACUGUGGGCUUGCGGUCGAUACGGGCAUCACUGGAGUUCGGCAGGGGAGACUGGAAUUCCUGGUGUAGCGGUGAAAUGCGCAGAUAUCAGGGAGGAACACCGGUGGCGGAAGGCGGGUCUCUGGGCCGAUACUGA